AUGCUCGUUCAUUUUAACUCACAGAAAGAUGACACCCUGCAUUCUUGCCGAGACUGUCAAUAUGUGGGAGAGAGGGCACUGUUAACUCCUUCCCAUUGUGCUCGUCUCAUGCUCGGAGGAGGCAAGAGCAAAUCCGGUGUGAUCCGGAUCAUCGUGCAGCCAAGCACAAACAGGAUCCACCAUGAUGCUCAAUAUGAGGACGCUGGGUGUGAGAUUUCAGAAGACCUAUCAGAGUGUGGUCUUAUCAUAGGCAUAAAGCAACCACAGUUGGAGAUGAUUCUUCCAGAUAGAGCAUAUGCGUUCUUCUCACACACCCACAAGGGCCCAGAAGGAGAAUAUGCCGUUGUUAGAUAUGGUAUUCAUUAUUGCGGGUGUGCAUUUCUGUCAAGGAAAUGGUGUGCUAAAUUGCUGGUUCAUAUUUUUCAGAUCAUGGAAGUAGGAGUGUCCUUGUUUGAUUAUGAGCUAAUUGCUGAUGACGAUGCGAAAGGAAUGCUGGCAUUUGCGAAAUUUUCUUGUAGAGCUGGGCUGAUAGACUUCUUGCAUGGUCUCGGACAGUGUAAAAACAUUAUUCAGUUCCUGAUAUUCUUAUCUCUAUGA
rnacentral:rRNA from 1 species